AUUGAACGCUGGCGGCAUGCCUUACACAUGCAAGUCGAACGGUAACAGGUUAAGCUGACGAGUGGCGAACGGGUGAGUAAUGUAUCGGAACGUGCCCAGUCGUGGGGGAUAACUGCUCGAAAGAGCAGCUAAUACCGCAUACGACCUGAGGGUGAAAGCGGGGGAUCGCAAGACCUCGCGCGAUUGGAGCGGCCGAUAUAAGAUUAGGUAGUUGGUGAGGUAAAGGCUCACCAAGCCGACGAUCUGUAGCUGGUCUGAGAGGACGACCAGCCACACUGGGACUGAGACACGGCCCAGACUCCUACGGGAGGCAGCAGUGGGGAAUUUUGGACAAUGGGCGCAAGCCUGAUCCAGCCAUGCCGCGUGCGGGAAGAAGGCCUUCGGGUUGUAAACCGCUUUUGUCAGGGAAGAAAAGGUUCUGGCUAAUACCUGGGACUCAUGACGGUACCUGAAGAAUAAGCACCGGCUAACUACGUG
rnacentral:rRNA from 1 species